AAGUCGUAACAAGGUUUCCGUAGGUGAACCUGCGGAAGGAUCAUUAAUGAAUUGUUCGAAUAAUCUAUGCGGACAAAUUCUUUAAAUCCGUAUCCACACCGGCCGGGGGGGUUCAAUGAUGGACCUUUUCGGCCGUAGGGGGUGUUUUGUUUUUCACUCAGGGCUCUCUCUGGGGGGGGCCCUGGGCGAAAAGGAGACAUCCCUGUCUGACCUUUGCCUAAAAUUGAUCUUUUUGACUGAAACUUUUUGAUAAAAAUCAAAUCAAAAACAACUUUCAACAACGGAUCUCUUGGCUCUC
rnacentral:misc_RNA from 1 species